rnacentral:lncRNA from 1 species
AAACAAAGAAAACCAGAAUGAAAACAAAGGAGGUAGCUUAGCUUACCAUCAGAAGCAUCUCCCUGAUUGUGUCUCCGAGCUCCCCACGAGGUCGAGAACGGAACGCUGCUUGCUCCCUAGUAGAGCUAGCUAAGAGACCAGUGAGAGUAAGCAAGCGUGGAUCCGAAGCCUCCAUGACGCCACCAAACAUCCGCUCCUUGACAAUCUCAGC